rnacentral:rRNA from 1 species
UACGGGGGGAGCAAGCGUUGUCCGGAAUCACUGGGCGUAAAGGGCGCGUAGGCGGCGCGGUAAGCGUGCGGUGAAAGCCCGGGGCUCAACCCCGGGUCGGCCGUGCGGACUGCCGGGCUGGAGCACUGUAGAGGCAGGUGGAAUUCCGGGUGUAGCGGUGGAAUGCGUAGAGAUCCGGAAGAACACCGGUGGCGAAGGCGGCCUGCUGGGCAGUAGCUGACGCUGAAGCGCGACAGCGUGGGGAGCAAACAGG